rnacentral:lncRNA from 1 species
UUUAAUGCUCGCGCGAACGGAUCGACCUAUGCUCUGUCUGUUUGCUCUGCUUAUUUCCGCACGCUCAGCUCGUUCUGUUCGUUCGGGUUAAAAUGUUCAAGUCUGGACCCACCUUAAGAGUCGUAUGGGAAACAGUUUUGUUUAAACAUGUUUUGUGUUUUAGUCUGAAGCAUCAUGUGGACCAACGCACAGCGCGCAUUCGCCGUGAAAGUGUACCUCUACGAAAAUCGGUCAGUUAAUUGCUGCGCAACGAGCGUUCCGGAUAAGGAUCCAAAUUCCGCGAAACGAAGGAGUCCCGGACGCAUUUUUCUAAACGCCACACGUAAUCGCGGAUCGCGAAACGCCGAGCGUCAGGUUCAAAAUGCUACUUGUGAUCGCAAAACGCCGGUGCUAAACAGCACACGUUAUCGCAAAUAUUUAUGCGGAAUUAUAAAUCCAGUCGGUGUAUUUUCAAGGAGUAAUGGUUAAACGCGCCAAUUUGCGAUAACGUGUGCUGCUUAGCAUGCUGUUUUGCCAUCGCAAGUGGCGUUUAGACAGACCGCUCGAGUAUCAGCCGAUUUGCGAUUACGUGGGGCGUUUAGAAAAAUGCGUCCCGGACCGAAAAUCAAUUGUGUUGUGCGUCAAGAACUUCAGAGAAACUGGAUCUGUUAUCAAAAAAGGAGGUGGACGGCCACGGACAGCCCGAAAACAUCGAGACUGUGAGACGCUCAUUUUUACGGUCACCUAGACGUUCUGCACGGAGACACGCAGCUGCCCUUCGUUUAUCUGACCGCACUGUGCGAAGAGUUCUUCACAAGGAUCUUCGUUUUCAUCCAUACAAGAUGGUUCUGGCACAGGAAUGAUCAGAACGUGAUUGGAACAAUCGACGUGCUGCAUGUGAAAUUAUGCUUGAAAAUUCACCUCAGGGCGCAGUUUUUUUUAGUGACGAGGCACAUUUUUACUUGUCUGGCUGGGUAAACAAGCAAAACUUUCGGUAUUGGGCCGCUGAUAAUCCGAGAGAGAUACACGAGAAGCCUCUACAUAGUGAGAAAGUGACAGUUUGGUCCGCCGUGUCUGAAAUGGGGAUAAUCGGCCCUUACUUCUUUGAAGAAAAAAAUCACGCUGUUACUGUCAAUUCGGAACGCUAUAUAGCGAUGAUUCACAAUUUUUUCGCCCCAGCCUUUGCAGGACUCAAUGUGUGUUUCAGCAAGAUGGGGCAACAGUUCACACACCUCGAGCUUCAAUGCAAGUAUUGAGAGAAAUGUUCCCCGGACGUUUGCUCUCCCUGAGAGGCGAUAUUUCUUGGCCUGCACGCUCGCCCGACCUAACGCCCUGCGACUUCUUUCUGUGGGGUUACCUAAAAGCUGAAGUCUUCAAACAUCGUCCAACGACUAUUAGACAACUAAAGGAUGCAAUCCGCCUAGAAAUUCGCAGAAUACCCCAAGAAAUGCUUGCAAGAGUUAUGCGAAACUUCAGAAGUCGCUUGCACCAGUGCUUCGAUAAUGGUGGACGGCACUUGCCAGAUAUUCUCUUCAAAACCACAUAGGACAAAAAUGUUUUAGUUGUACUUUUAAAAUAAAAAAAUUAAAUCUUUGUAUUUCAAAUAA